rnacentral:rRNA from 1 species
GAUGCGCGUAGCGACAAAUAUGACAUUCGGAUGCGCUGACGAACGUGUCGUUUUCCUGUUUCCCUUGUUCAGUACCAUAUUAUUUAUUACUCAGCAUGUUAGUCCAUACUUAAUUGCAAAUCCUCCCCGUUGCCGUUUCAGGUGAAUCCAGUUGCUGCUUAAGUGGGUUUCCUUUGUACCAAACCUGAAGGUGAACCCAGUUGCUGUUUAAGUGGGCUUCCUUUGAACCAUACUUGAAGUUAAACGCAAGGCUUCACAGUUCCUGGGAAUCUGCCUGUAUAGCUUCCUUCAAGCAUGGAGAACCUACCAAAUGUUCCUGCAAGUAUUGCUGAGAAGAACCAGGGAAAUGAGACAUCUGAUGAUGCUGGCGAGCCUGAAGAAGUAGCAGACGUAUUUGUUUACAGAGAAGAUGUCGUCAGCUUGAAAUCAAACAAAAAUGCCCGUGGUUUGGUGAUGGAAGUAGCUGGCGAAUAUGAUUCUGAAGGUAGCAUCACUGAUGAUGAAUCUGAUGCUGAGGAGAAUGAGCGUAAAAGCGCUCAUAAAACUGAAAAUGUUGGUCCUGGCGGUGAUAAUGCCAAUAAUGCAAGUCAUGGAGAUGAUGUUGAGAGUCAGAGCUCUCUGCCUGAUAACAAGGUUAGGGUGUUAUGGAUUGACGGAACAGAGAUGACGGAAGAUAUUGACAGUGUGGUGGUUGUUGACAGAACUUUCCUCCAUGGGGACAUGGUUGCUUCUUCCUCAGAUCCAACUGGUCAGAUGGGGCUUGUUGCGGAUGUCAGUCUUGCGGUUGAUUUGCAAGGUGCUCAUGGAGAGAUGAUUAAGGGUGUAUCUGCAAAGGAUUUGAGACGCAUCAGGGAAUUCAAUGUGGGUGAUUAUGUUGUCUCUGGGCUAUGGCUUGGUCGGGUUGACGAAGUGUUUGAUAAUGUUAGUGUGUUGUUUGAUGAUGGUUCUGUCUGCAAGGUUUCAAGGGCAGAUCCUAUGCGCCUAAGGCUUGCCUCAGGGCCAAUGCACCCAGAUACAGCCUGCCCCUUUUAUCCAGGACAGCGUGUGAAGGCAGUGUCUUCAUCUGUGUACAAAACAUCCAGAUGGCUUCAUGGGAUGUGGAAAGCAAGUCGUCUUGAAGCUACUGUCACAAAGGUGGAAACUGCUGCUGUCAUAGUCUAUUGGAUUGCGUCUGCACACUGUGGUACAAAUCAAGAUUCUGUUCCCCCUGAGGAGCAGAACCCAAAGGAUCUGACUCUUCUGUCUUGCUUUUCAUAUGCAAGUUGGCAAUUGGCUGAAUGGUGUCAUCCUCAACCACACACAUCAUCAUGUGCCAAUGACGCUUUAAUGGAGUGUUCAAAAAUGAAAGAGCUCAAUUCUGAGCAGGCUGAUGUUCCUGAAUCUGCCGUUGAUGUUCAGGCUGAACAGGCUCAAAAUACUAAAACAGAUGUAAAUCCCCUGGAGAAACAUGGUGAUUCUCUUGCAGAUCGAUCAAAUAUGUCAGAUGGAGAUAAUACAUGCGUAGCCAAAGAUUCAGAAUCUGGCGCUAGUGUAUCAACCCUUCCAAAGGAGGGAGUGCAUGACCAUGCUACUUACAGAAAGAAGAUCAGAAAAGUUUUUGUCAGAAAGGAUAAAAGAGCAAAAAGAAGAGACGAGAGCUUUGAAAGUGCCCUGCUUAUUUCAGAUACAUAUACAAAGGUUGAUGUACUGUGGCAAGAUGGGAGAAAAGAAUGUGGAGUAAGUUCCACGUCACUGAUCCCGAUCCAGACUCCAAAUGAUCAUGAAUUCUUCCCAGAGCAGUAUGCUGUAGAAAAAGUCUCUGAUGAUGUUGACCAGCCUUCUGAAACAAGGCGUGUGGGUCUUGUUAGAAGUGUUAAUGCAAAGGACCGAACUGUGUCUGUAUCAUGGUUUAAGUCUUCGUUGCACGCACAGGAGCCUAGGGAAAUUGAGUGCACUGAAGUUGUUAGUGCAUAUGAACUUGAUGGUCACCCGGAUUAUGAUUAUUGCUAUGGAGAUGUUGUUGUUCGCUUGCCAUCUGUUUCACAUCCUAUGGAAUCAUCCAAUGGUGGAAACACCAUGGAGCUGGACAAGAAUGUAGAUUCUGAAGAAGCAUCGGCUGCUUCAAAUGCAGUGCCCCCUGAUGUUGCUGCAGAGGAACAGCUUUCACAGAAGGAAUCUAGUUCAGAAGUUACCCACCUCUCAUGGGUUGGAAAUAUAGUGGGCUUCCAAGAUGGUGAGAUUGAAGUCACUUGGGGUGAUGGGUCGGUGUCAAAGGUUGGGCCUCAUGAGAUAUAUGUUGUUGGCCGAGAAGAUGACGGUGGCUCGAUAGAUGAUGGAGCUCCUUCCGAUGCUGGUAGCUGGGAGACAGUUGAUGACAAUGAAAUGGACUUGCCUGAUGAUCCUGCAAAUGAUGAUCUGCAGAAUGCAGUCCAGAAUAGCAUUGAAAUGGAAAAUGGGUCAUUCAAUUCCCAAGAUGAAACUUCUGUUGGAAGUGGUCCACUCUCUGUUGCUUUUGGCUUUGUUACGCGACUGGCGAGUGAGAUCUUCGCCCGAGGUAAAAAGCAUUUAGAUGGGUCAAACUCAGAUGCUAUGGAUGAAGUUGAAUCUCAGCAGUCUAACGAGGUUUCAGAAUCUGGUGAUGACAUUGAUAAAAACGAGGAUGAGAACCGCAUGGCAUCAUCGGAGAGCACCACUGUGACAACAAAUGACUCUAAUGCUGAGAAGUCCGUAGAUGUAGUUAUGGCUGACGAGCCUGCAGAUUCUGAUUGCUUGAAACACUUUGAUGUUCUCCAGUGCCCUCCGGACCAUCACUACCUUGAAAACAUAGCACAUGGUACCGGUGGAAGAAAGUGGGUCAAAAAAGUUCAGCAAGAAUGGGGCAUACUUGAGAAGAAUCUACCAGAUUAUAUUUAUGUCAGGGUAUUUGAAGAUCGUAUGGAUCUGAUGAGAGCUGUGAUUAUUGGAGCAAGUGGCACACCAUACCAAGAUGGUCUGUUCUUCUUUGACUUCUAUCUUCCACCUGAGUUUCCACAAGCUCCUCCGUCGGCAUACUAUCAUUCUGGCGGCCUGCGUGUAAAUCCAAACCUUUAUGUGGAUGGGAAGGUUUGUUUAAGCCUCUUAAAUACUUGGACUGGCAGAGGGAAUGAAGUAUGGGAUCCAUCCUCAUCUAGCAUUCUCCAAGUACUAGUUUCACUCCAGGGGCUGGUUCUCAAUGAAAAGCCCUAUUUCAAUGAAGCUGGAUAUGAGAAGCAAGUCGGUACUGUUGAAGGGGAGAAGAAUGCACUGCCAUACAACGAAAACACAUAUCUGCUAAGCGUGAAAUCCAUGUUGUAUAUCUUGAGGCGGCCUCCUAUGAAUUUCGAGGAUUUUGUGAAAAGUCACUUCUGCAAGCGCGGCCACUACAUUCUCAAAGCUUGUGAGGCCUACUUGCAAGGAGCUGUGGUUGGCACGCUGAACGACGAUGCCUGCCCUCCCACCGAUACUAACAAGGAGUACUCUUGCUCCAUGGGCUUCAAACUUGCAUUGGGCAAAAUCUUGCCAAGGUUGAUCACAGCCCUGAAGGACAUAGGAGCAGACUGCAGCCAGUAUGAGCACCUCGGGAAGACCGAAACCGCUCAAGAAAGCUGAACACCGAGCCGAGGGUUGUAUCCAAAUCUUCUCUUGGCUUGAGAAAACUUGAUAAAACUUCACCCCCGCUGUUUCCGUAUAAAUGUACAUUCAACAUUUGUUGUUUUAUUAUCUGAACAUUUGGGAAACGUGGUUCCAAAUGAAUCCAUCAUCUCUUCCAAACUGGGAAUUGAGGUGUGUCCUGCACAGUUUAUGUUUUUGUUAAGCUUUGUGGGUUUGUUGUUAAGGUACCCUUAUAUUAUUUUAAAGGCCAGACCAGCAUUGCAAGAUUAAGCCUAGAAAUUCCAAGGGUAGAGAUGCAGCUGGCUAAAUGAUGAUGGCAUUUUCCUUCUGCGGUACUCCGUUUGUUUUUAUGUAC